rnacentral:lncRNA from 1 species
CCUUUUAGUUCACUUGAGAAACCUAUUAUUUUUUUCUAAACCAAAUCCUAAUUUUAGAUGAAAAGGAAUUCAUAAAUUGAUUCUUUCCUCUUGUGAUUGCAGUUACCACUGGGAUAACUACUGGCACAACCAUUGUAUCUGGGAGUUCCAACACAAAGGCUACGACUUCUACAGGCAUUGGAGUUGCCACUGGAGUUGGAAUGGCAACUGGGAUCACCAACAUAAUUUCAGGGAGAAGCCAACCUACUGAAAGUAAAACAGGCUACACUGUGACAGGCUCUGGGACAACAGCCUUACCUGGAGGUUUCAGAACAGGUAAGUCAAGUAGUGAAAGGAAUUCUCCUUUAAAUGGCUCUCAGUUAGCAGUGUAAUUGGAUUGUUUGUGGC